UACAGAGGUCCCAAGCGUUGUUCGGAUUCACUGGGCGUAAAGGGCGCGUAGGCGGCGCACCAAGUCAGGCGUGAAAGCCCUGGGCUCAACCCGGGAAUUGCGCUUGAGACUGGUGUGCUUGAGUACGGGAGAGGAUAGUGGAAUUCCCAGUGUAGAGGUGAAAUUCGUAGAUAUUGGGAAGAACACCCGUGGCUAAGGCGGCUCUCUAGUACGGUACUGACGCUGAGACGCGAAAGCGUGGGGAGCGAACAGG
rnacentral:rRNA from 1 species